rnacentral:misc_RNA from 1 species
CCGAAGUUACUCUUCAAACCCAUUGUGAACGUUACCUCUUGCCGUUGCCUCGGCGGGAGGUCCGGGCGGUCCGCCGCCCCGGACCCCGCCGGCAGCGCCAGACUCUUACUUUUAUAGAAGCCUUCUGAUUUAUCUUGAAAACAAGUCA